GAUUGAAACUGAAUUAGAAGAGUCAACACAGCUCAGAGAUUGACAGUGACUGGUGAGCUUUACAUGUCCUCAUUUUUGAGAGAGGGUAACAGCUUCCAAUUAAUUACAUCUCCUUGGGCACAAAGAAUUGCUUUUGUGGUGGGACAGAAGUUCAAAGGUGUAGAAGGCUGUGUGCAGAUGCUGAGUGGCUAACAGGGGCUGUGCCAGUUAGGAAGCUCGUCUCUCAGUUCCACACCCGCUCUUUUUAGCUCUGCUUUUGUGAUACCAGCGACAGAACUCUGCAAACAUCUCUGCUUCGCAGCUGGCAUCCUGUUGGAUUUUUCCAGUAGAGGGAAGCUUCCAUGCUGCAGGAAGAAGGGGCGUGCUCCUUCCCGUUCCUGUCAGCACUGCUGCAGCAGUUUGCUCUCACAGCUGCAUGUGAUCCCAGCUGCCAUUUCUGACCUGCUCAGAACCAGCUUCAUGAUGGGCUCAAAGACCCAGGACCAGCUCUGGCAUGUACACGUGGCCACGGUACCCUUCGUACAACACGGGAAGAGAACAACAGGACGCCCAAGAGGCAUCUGGACAGCACACAGCAAACAGAAAGGCUGAACGCCCCCCCAUGGAACCCCAUUAAAAAACAAUGUUUGUCUAUUACAAA
rnacentral:lncRNA from 10 species